rnacentral:rRNA from 1 species
AUUGAACGCUGGCGGCAGGCCUAACACAUGCAAGUCGAGCGGAUGAAGGGAGCUUGCUCCUGGAUUCAGCGGCGGACGGGUGAGUAAUGCCUAGGAAUCUGCCUGGUAGUGGGGGAUAACGUCCGGAAACGGGCGCUAAUACCGCAUACGUCCUGAGGGAGAAAGUGGGGGAUCUUCGGACCUCACGCUAUCAGAUGAGCCUAGGUCGGAUUAGCUAGUUGGUGGGGUAAAGGCCUACCAAGGCGACGAUCCGUAACUGGUCUGAGAGGAUGAUCAGUCACACUGGAACUGAGACACGGUCCAGACUCCGACGGGAGGCAGCAGUGGGGAAUAUUGGACAAUGGGCGAAAGCCUGAUCCAGCCAUGCCGCGUGUGUGAAGAAGGUCUUCGGAUUGUAAAGCACUUUAAGUUGGGAGGAAGGGCAGUAAGUUAAUACCUUGCUGUUUUGACGUUACCAACAGAAUAAGCACCGGCUAACUUCGU